UAGGGAAUCUUCCACAAUGGACGCAAGUCUGAUGGAGCAACGCCGCGUGAGUGAAGAAGGUUUUCGGAUCGUAAGGCUCUGUUGUUGGUGAAGAAGGAUAGAGGCAGUAACUGGUCUUUAUUUGACGGUAAUCAACCAGAAAGUCACGGCUAACUACGUUCCAG
rnacentral:rRNA from 1 species